rnacentral:rRNA from 1 species
GACGAACGCUGGCGGCGUGCUUAACACAUGCAAGUCGAACGGAAAGGCCCUGCUUUUGUGGGGUGCUCGAGUGGCGAACGGGUGAGUAACACGUGAGUAACCUGCCCUUGACUUUGGGAUAACUUCAGGAAACUGGGGCUAAUACCGGAUAGGAGCUCCUGCUGCAUGGUGGGGGUUGGAAAGUUUCGGCGGUUGGGGAUGGACUCGCGGCUUAUCAGCUUGUUGGUGGGGUAGUGGCUUACCAAGGCUUUGACGGGUAGCCGGCCUGAGAGGGUGACCGGCCACAUUGGGACUGAGAUACGGCCCAGACUCCUAAGGGAGGCAGAAGUGGGGAAUAUUGCACAAUGGGCGGAAGCCUGAUGCAGCAACGCCGCGUGCGGGAUGACGGCCUUCGGGUUGUAAACCGCUUUCGCCUGUGACGAAGCGUGAGUGACGGUAAUGGGUAAAGAAGCACCGGCUAACUACGUG